CCAAAUUUUGCUUUCAGACUACCCAUUUGUUCCUAUGUCUAAAUGCUACAACUCCAGGGCCUUCUCUACAUGAGGUAUGUAUCUGUAAAAGGGGUCUAGGUCAAGAUGGGAGAAAAUGAGGCCAAACCACUCUUGAGGGAAUCAAGCCAUCUUUGGUUACUCCGCCUCCGUCUAUUCCCUCGGAUCUCAGUGACAAGCUGCGUUCUUUUCCUUUCGAGGAUGUCUUUUAGCCUAUGAAAUGCACCAGCUACAUUCCAAAGGUGC
rnacentral:lncRNA from 1 species